rnacentral:lncRNA from 1 species
CUGGGGUGCUGCCAGCAUGUCCCUCUGUCCCUCUGCUCUGGCCCCGUGGUGGGCACAGGCUGGGCUGGGGCACGGGGCCCUCUGUGGUUUUCUGAGCCAGCCUUGCCGAGGGCAGGCACAGAUCUCUGGGAAUGUCACCCUGGGCUUUGCUGUGUCCCAGCAGCACGGGAGCUCUUGUGCUGACCCCUCUGGCUCUCCUGGGUGGGAUGUGCUGGGUCCUACCCUGCAGGGCUCCCUCCCACGGGCCUUGGGUUUGAGCCACAGCAGUUAAAUGCCUCGGUUUUUCCAGGAUUGCUUUUCCUGCAGCCCCCAGCAGCUUCCUGAGCCUGUCUUUGGCUGAGAGCCCAGCAGGAAACACUGCCAGCUCCUCCACAGCCACCUCCUGAUGCCCAUCCUAAGGAGGCUGCUGUUUAAUUACGGGGAGGUGGGGAAGAGCCUGGCCAGCCUGCAGGACCCUGCGCUGCCUGGGCUGGGAUGUCCCUGCAGUGGGGACGCGCGGCAGUGCCACCAGCAGCCAGUGCUCCCCGUGCGGGGACAGCAGCACCCCCAGCCCCAGAGAGGCGGGCACGAGGCCUGGACAAUGCCAAGAAACGGGACUCAGCCAUGUGCCCAGGGGCCUGCAGAGGCACUGAUAAAUGAUAAUAACAAAAAAUACCUGUACCUGCCCCUCGCCUUUGCUCAGAUCAGGCCCUCUGGAAGACAAGAGCCCUGCUGGAGCGAGGCUGGGCCAUACAAAGGGCAGCGUUGUGUGGGGCUGGCGGGAGCCGGCGCGGCGCUGUUUGCACAGCAGCCACCCCGAAAUCGGAUUUCACUGCAGCAGCACCGACUCUUCCUCGGGUUUCUGCAGAUCUGGGCUCGCAUCUAU